ACGGCGACGCUUCUGUCAGCGCUCUACCAAGUCUAUAUUCGCCAAUCCAUCUUUUCCCUUCCCCAUUCCGCGACGCUGCACGCGUACGUUCUCAUUGACGUGGAAGACGAGUCGACCUUCACUUCCACAGCUAAAAGGCACCCAAUACAAGUAGUAGAGCGACGCAUACACGACGUAUACCCAAAGGUGCGUCUAAUCUUCCGUUGCCUCUGUUCUGCGCUGUUCGCUUCCGCAGGCAGUACCUGGGAGAGUCAGCACCGGCAAUUUGCGGUGCCGACGUGCCUCCGUCUACCUCCGUAUUUUCCUUCGCCUCCCUUCCCUCUCGCCACUGUGGCGCUCUGAAGGUACGCUUUUAUAUUCUCCGUUGGUUGGCUUCUUUCUCGGCUAUCGCCCUUCUCUUCUCCCGCACUGGACAGCUUUUCAUCUCUAUAGAUCGAUAUGUAUUUGCAUACCCCCUUCGCUAUCUGAUUCUUUCCCGGUGUGCGAAUUUCCGACGUGGGCGCCUCCCGGCCGGAGCGACAGUUGCAGGUGUGCCACGAAGAGCCCAAGAAAGAAGGAGAAGGAGAAGGGGAGAGUCGAUCGAAACGCCUUCGCGUGCACACACACACACACACACGCAGACUCACAACACCCGAGCACUGUCGUCUUCUGCAGCGUGAAUCAGCCAAAAGGAGACAACGUUUGGGGGCUCGAGUCUCGUGCGGGGCCACGCGUGUGCGGCGCUGCGUUAUCGUUUUUAGACCCCCACCUCCUCCCUCCUUUGUGCUAUUGUGGUCGCUUACUCGCGCCUGUGAUGUGUUUCUCACGCCCCUUCCUUUAGUUCGCCCUCUUCUCCCAUUCUGCGCUCCUUUUGGUCGGCCCAUCUCGCCCUCUCCUCAACGUAG
rnacentral:misc_RNA from 1 species